GCGCGCAUUUUUUUGACAGGUAAACUCAGGUGAAAUACAGGUCAUAAUACUUUAUUAUUUAUUAAUUUGUUCAAUUAUUUACAAGUAUCAGUACCCCUUCCAUUAGUCUAAGUCUCCUAAGGCACCUAUUUUGAAAGAAUUCAAUCAAUAAUAUUUUAGGGAAAAUACAGGUCAUAAUACUUAUUUAUUUAUCAAUUUGUUCAAUUAUUUACAAUUAUCAGUACCCCUUCCGUUAGUCUAAGUCUCUUCUUAGGCAGGGAAAAAAGGAGAUAAAGCCGCAUAUUUUUUUCGAUUUUCAUAUACAAUUCAACAAGUCAAAGGUGUAGACAAAAUUUUAAGAAAUCUGUGACAAAGCCCAUUUAUCAUAACUUGAACUUAAGAUAUAUAUAACGGG
rnacentral:lncRNA from 1 species